AAAAUUCAACUCCAGAAUCCCUCGCAGAAGGCAAAGGGGCCUGCAGGGCAAAAGAGAGAGAAAUCACAUGGCUGCUCUUCAAAAGGGGACCUGUGUAAGGCAGCCGGCAAAGUGCGUGGGAUCACACUCAGAAUGCAGCUGUGCGCGUGUGUCUGUGUUUAUGUGUCUGACAGCAUCAGACGGAGAGAGAGAGUGUGUCGCAUGCCUUCCUGUUCCUGUACCACCCUCCAACCCCAGAGCCGCAGACUCAAGGCAGUUUCCAGAAUCAAACAAUUUCACGCAGCUACUGGAGGAGGAAAUGAACUGAGCCCAGAGCAAUAAUAAAAUUAUACAAAUGUUA